rnacentral:lncRNA from 1 species
ACUUCAAAUACCAAACUAGAAAUGACUCGGCCAAGGCCAGUGUGGUAUGCUGGCUCAAUAACAACACGAUUACCCGUAUAAAACUGGGGAAUGCGACGUAAACAAGUAAAGCAGCCCAAACUGGACAGGUUAUAUAUACACAUUGCAAGGUUUUUUUCACAAGCGUCGUGAUGGCAAGGUUUUUUCACAAGCGUCAUGAUAGAUUCACAAGGGACUUGUUGAAGGCCUGGCUCUCUGCCGCUAAAGGACGCGAAGUUGGGCAAGGAAAGCGGCACAAAGAUCCAAGAAGAGAAACUGCGGACCUUGGACCCUUUGAAGAUCAAGCAGGU